UCUAAUUUGUAACCGGCCUGAUUAUCCCUCGUCUUGUUUUCUCCAACUUUUUCCGACCGGUAAUCUCGCUCGCUGCCAAGUCGAAUCUCGACACGAGCGGGCGGGCGUUGCCGUUUGGUCGAGGGGCUCGAAAAAUGUCGAGAGAGAGAGAGAAAGAGAGAG